CGGCGGACGGGUGAGUAAGCGUGGGUAACCUGCCUCAUACAGGGGGAUAACAGUUGGAAACGGCUGCUAAUACCGCAUAAGCGCACAGUACCGCAUGGUACGGUGUGAAAAACUCCGGUGGUAUGAGAUGGACCCGCGUCUGAUUAGGUAGUUGGUGGGGUAACGGCCUACCAAGCCGACGAUCAGUAGCCGACCUGAGAGGGUGACCGGCCACAUUGGGACUGAGACACGGCCCAA
rnacentral:rRNA from 1 species